GCCAAGGCCAACGGUCAAUGGUAUGGCAGCGGACAAUAGACUUGUGACAGCGGAAGCUGUAUCCCUACUCAGAAACCUGCUUCAGUCACCUACUCUAAUUAACUUGAUUUCUAACUCUGUAUCACCUACGCUAAUAAACUCCAUAACUAGCUCUGUAGCUACACCUUCGAAUGCAGCAGUUAAUUUGGAAAUAAGGUCUCUCUACGAACUCGGGUCUAGCAGCAUGCAAACCACACCAGCCCCAGGCAACGAAAUACGGAACUGUUGUCCCCGCUAUGAAACGAGGGCAACUUAUAGCACAUGGAAAUCCAAACCAAGACAAAAAGUCCGACAGAAAACGCCGUACCAUCGGACCUUUAACAAGGACGUUAUUUUGCUGUUUAGAGUUGUACAAAAACGGGCACAUCCUGAAUGCUUUCGAGUUCAACAAAACCUGGGACAAUGGGGCAGUCCUCCUUCAAAUACGGGAUGCUUUUAAGGGGAAAAUUCCAGACGAUGUGAGGUAAAGCUAGCAUUAACAUGAUAGAAUAGACAGUCAGACUCCAUGGCACUAUAUUAGGAGUCCUUUACUUAACUAACUUUUCAAGGAGGACAAUGCCCCUUCGGUUAUCAUAUCACAGUAAAUGUACAAGUGCAUCCUAUAUAGUAAAGUGAAUUGGACAAUUAACGU